rnacentral:lncRNA from 1 species
AAAAAACAGGUUGCAAUUCAUCACCCGACUUCCUUCUCUAUAAUAGUAUCAGCUUUGGAACACACUAGCUACACAGACCGCGAGAGCUAGUUGCUGCUGCCAGUACGUGCAAAGCUGGAACCCAACAGAUCGAAAAAAGGAUUAAGUGAGCUAAUAAAUGGCAGCAGGUUUGUGGAGGGGGGGCGAAAGUGAUAGGCCAUAUGCUCGUAUUGAAGGGCAUGGCGAAUUGAUC